GUGGCGGUCUGUUUAUGUAUGAUAUAGGC
rnacentral:sRNA from 1 species